rnacentral:rRNA from 1 species
UAAGCGGAGGAAAAGAAACUAACAAGGAUUCCCCUAGUAGCGGCGAGCGAAGCGGGAAGAGCUCAAAUUUAUAAUCUGGCACCUUCGGUGUCCGAGUUGUAAUCUCUAGAAAUGUUUUCCGCGUUGGACCGCACACAAGUCUGUUGGAAUACAGCGGCAUAGUGGUGAGACCCCCGUAUAUGGUGCGGACGCCCAGCGCUUUGUGAUACAUUUUCGAAGAGUCGAGUUGUUUGGGAAUGCAGCUCAAAUUGGGUGGUAAAUUCCAUCUAAAGCUAAAUAUUGGCGAGAGACCGAUAGCGAACAAGUACCGUGAGGGAAAGAUGAAAAGCACUUUGGAAAGAGAGUUAACAGUACGUGAAAUUGUUGGAAGGGAAACGCUUGAAGUCAGACUUGCUUGCCGAGCAAUCGGUUUGCAGGCCAGCAUCAGUUUUCCGGGAUGGAUAAUGGUAGAGAGAAGGUAGCAGUUUCGGCUGUGUUAUAGCUCUCUGCUGGAUACAUCUUGGGGGACUGAGGAACGCAGUGUGCCUUUGGCGGGGGUUUCGACCUCUUCACACUUAGGAUGCUGGUGGAAUGGCUUUAAACGACCCGUCUUGAAACACG